rnacentral:rRNA from 1 species
CAGUCGCCGCGGUAAUACAGAGGAUGCAAGCGUUAUCCGGAAUGAUUGGGCGUAAAGCGAGCGCAGGCGGUUAGAUAAGUCUGAAGUUAAAGGCUGUGGCUUAACCAUAGUACGCUUUGGAAACUGUUUAACUUGAGUGCAAGAGGGGAGAGUGGAAUUCCAUGUGUAGCGGUGAAAUGCGUAGAUAUAUGGAGGAACACCGGCGGCGAAAGCGGCUCUCUGGCUUGUAACUGACGCUGAGGCUCGAAAGCGUGGGGCGCAAACAGGAUUAGAUACCCCGGUAGUCCCUGUCUCUUAUACC